rnacentral:lncRNA from 1 species
GUGGUGGUGAACGUGUAGUUGAAUAUGGUGCCAAUUUCACACUGGUAAAAAAAUUAUGUAAUAACAGCAAACUUGGUUGUCAAAUUGGUUUUAAAACAAAUUACAAUAUAAAUUUCUCGUGGGUAAGAAUAAAUUAUAUGCAUUUUUCUAGGAAACGGGGAAUUAAUUUCGAACGGUCGGUGGCAGUGCAGGAGAUCUGGAGGUACAGUACAUAUUUUAUGGCAUAAAAUAAUAUGGUGAUUAAUCGUACAACUACCUGGCUGAAAUUUGCAAACAGAACUUCGAGCCCUCGAAAUUUCGACGUUCAGAUUGUAUUUUCAGACAGGUUUUACUCAGGAAAUUACAUUACAUAUUCUGAGACUUUCACAAUAUGCAGGAACAUUGCUGAUUUAUUAAGCCAUAUAUAGUCAGAUAUUACUUUGUCUGCUGCCAGACAGGCAGACAAGUUAUCAAGACCGAGAGCUCACAAAUGUUAGAAUAAAAAGAUUGACAUACUGUACUGUAUGUUAAACGUCAUAAUUAAUGAAGUGUUAAUGGUGUAUAUUUUCCUUGUGUAGUCCAAAUUUCUUCCUACUGUGAACUUUUGUUGGACACAAAAACGUUUGAUAUUCUAUCUCUCUGAAAAUAAAUAGAGUUACGGUUCCAGCCAAGCUUUUUUAUUAGUUCCAGCCGGAACCAGAACUCUGAAAAAUGUAGGGGUGCACCAGGACUAGGUUCUGGCUGGUUAUUUCCAGCCGGAACCCAAUUUUUCAGGGUUUUGUUUCUGGCCAGAUCACUAAUAAAAAAAAAUAUAUGGCCGUAACCGGAAGUUGGUUGUUUUUAGAGAGAUAGAAUAUCAAGUUUAUUUGUUGAAUAGCAUAGGAAGACAAGAAAAAAUGUGCAGUCUUAACACUUCGUUAUGACGUUUAACGUUAUAGUCUACAUCUUUUUAUUCUAACAUUUGCGAGCUCUGUCCUUGAUGACUGAAAGUGUCUGCCUGUCUGGUAGCAGACAAAGUAACAUAUGAAUAUAUAUCACUUAAAUUAAUGAAUUACAGAAUUAGUUCCGGCCAGAACUUUUUUCAGUUCCAACCAGUUUUCCGGUUCCGGCCAGAACAUAUAAUUAAAAGGCUGUACCAAGGCUGAAGGGCUAGCUAUUACAUUUUUGAAAGGCUAUAAUUCCAACUAAAUUACCACUACAUGAAACUCAGACAUUUUAGAACCACUAAGUAUUUUUAACAAAGUACAAAACAAUUAAGUGAUACCACAGGUGGCCCUAUCUUACCCUGUGUUAUUAAUUUAUUACGUUAAUUAUAUCUUUAUAUAAAUAGUAUAUUGAAAAUCAUUAGAAAAUCCUGUGUUAUUAAUUUAUUAAAUAAAUUAAUAACACAGGAUUUUCUAAUGAUUUUCAAUAUACUAUUUAUAUAAAGAUAUAACGUAAUGAAUUAAUAACACAGGGUAAGAUUGGGCCGCCUGUGGUGAUACAUAUAAAAAUGUUAUCGAUCUUAAUUUGGAGUUUACACUUGUUUUGUAUUUUGAAACUCAGACAUUCUAAUCUUUUGUCUCUUGAAACAGUUUUAGGUGAAUGCAGUUUUGUGCCGAGAUACAUCAUGGACUAAAUACCAGUGCAUACAUUGUAGAGAAGAAAUAAUUUUGUAAUGGCUCAAGAACUGGAAAGCUAUUUAUUCACCGAUUGGCCGGUAUUGAAUUCAUAUUAAAAUCAUUAAUUUUGCAAAUUAAAUAAAGUGUGAGGGCUGGAUGGUUACAUGGCUUGGAAAAGUUAUAACUUUGAAAAAAUUUGGAUUAGUAUAUUUAGUAUAAAUAUUAAUUUAACCCUUUAGUGGCGAUUCAUCCAAAUGCACCCUAAUUUAUUAUUUUACCUUCAUGUCUGUAUGCCAGACAAUUUUAUUCAUUAGGGAGAGAGUGCUGCCACACAAUGAGUUCAUGGGCAGAUUUACUGGGGGUUAGGGGGUUAUACCCUUAUAAAGUGUUUGGGUCCCCUCCUAUUUUAUUUGAAAAUCUUUAACUAACACCUAAGCCCUGUCGAAGCUCGCUUGCAGUGGUUCUGCUUGCACCCCACUUAAGAAAUGUUUCUACCCCUCCUUUUAAAAAAAUAAAAAUCCACCCUUGAACGGGUUAAACAGACGAUCUGCCCAUGCACGGCCCUGUUAACCCUUUAAGUGGCAAAUGAUAAUGCGCCUGGAUGUGGCCCUACUUUAUUAUUGUACCCUGUCUAAUGCCAUAUGGUUUUACCAGCAAGGGUAAGAGUGCUGCCACUCAAUGGGUUAACCAUCAUAAUUAAUAUUUACAGCUCUUUAACACAAGCGCCAGUGCUCUCCCCUUGACAAGUAAAAUCGUCUGGCGUUAGACAGAGUCAAAUAAUUAAUCAGGGUGCAAUACGACUCGGUGGGUUAAUUAAGAUUAUUGCUUUUCGUUUGGGUUGAGUUUCGUUGUGUGGCAUUAGGCAGUGAGAGAAACAUAAUCAAGUAUGUUGCAUCUAAGGCUGCAAUUAUAUGAAAUUACAUUAGUGACUGUCAUUUUCUAAUAUUCUGACUGUGCGUUUUAGCAUAAAUCUGUAAAAUGUAAAUGCCAACAGAACACUUAAUUAAUAGUCCAACAGUGCCAGUCAGUUUUUAGUAUUAACCCACUAAAAGCGCCAGGGCUCUCCCCUUGAUGAGUAAAAUUACCUGGCGUUAGACACAGUAAAAUAAUAAAGUAGGGCACAUCAGGGCAGGGUUGACUAGACACAUGGGCAGAUAGGCCCAUUAAGUGUCUGGCGUCAUACAGAGUAAAAUAAUAAAUUCAAAUUUUGACUGUUUGGAUUUCAUACAUUUGAAUAAAUUUAUAUUUAUGGAAUGCUUAUUGUUCACUAUGUACAUGCAUGUAAGGGACUGGCUCUGCUGGUAAAUAAUAUGUUUAUUUUUUAGCAUAAUAUGUAAAAUAAAAUUCACUAAAAUCCAGUCUUGCAUGCAAACUAAUUUGAACACAUUGCUAUCGAAGGUACCGUACCAGUUGGACUUAGUACCGAAAUCAGGGUGUUAGCUAGCCCAUAUACUGUCCGUUUGACGGACUCUUCCCAAUUGAAGUAG